rnacentral:rRNA from 1 species
ACACUCCUGCGGGAGGCAGCAGUGGGGAAUUUUGGACAAUGGGCGAAAGCCUGAUCCAGCAAUGCCGCGUGAGUGAAGAAGGCCUUCGGGUUGUAAAGCUCUUUUGUCAGGGAAGAAACGGUGAGAGCUAAUAUCUUUUGCUAAUGACGGUACCUGAAGAAUAAGCACCGGCUAACUACGUGCCAGCAGCCGCGGUAAUACGUAGGGUGCAAGCGUUAAUCGGAAUUACUGGGCGUAAAGCGUGCGCAGGCGGUUUUGUAAGUCUGAUGUGAAAUCCCCGGGCUCAACCUGGGAAUUGCAUUGGAGACUGCAAGGCUAGAAUCUGGCAGAGGGGGGUAGAAUUCCACGUGUAGCAGUGAAAUGCGUAGAUAUGUGGAGGAACACCGAUGGCGAAGGCAGCCCCCUGGGUCAAGAUUGACGCUCAUGCACGAAAGCGUGGGGAGCAAACAGGAUUAGAUACCCGUGUAGUCCCAUG